rnacentral:rRNA from 1 species
UACGGGGGGGGCAAGCGUUGUCCGGAAUUAUUGGGCGUAAAGGGCGCGUAGGCGGAAUGGUAAGUCAGAGGUGAAAUUCUCGCGCUUAACGCGGGAACUGCCUUUGAUACUGCUAUCCUUGAGUACGGAAGAGGGAAGCGGAAUUCCCGGUGUAGCGGUGAAAUGCGUAGAUAUCGGGAAGAACACCGGUAGCGUAAGCGGCUUCCUGGUCCGUUACUGACGCUGAGGCGCGAAAGUGUGGGGAGCAAACAGG